rfam:Geobacillus sp. WCH70, complete genome.
ACGAUGUUCCGCUGCAAUGAUGGAUAAGCAUUGUCAUGAACAUCUG